rnacentral:lncRNA from 1 species
GGACCACAGAGACUCCAGGAACAGGCGUCACCGCAGCUAAUGAGCCCCGCGACCCGCUCAGCCGGGUGCAGGGCGCAGGCGGCAGGCCGUGAUGGCAAUGCCUAGGACGGAGGCAGAGAGAGCGAGUUGAGGCCAGCCUUAGCACCUCAGUGAGGCCCCAUCUCAACAAGAUUAAAAGGGCUGGGACGCAGCUGAGUGGAAAAACACUCCUGGGUUCAACCUCCAGGACCAGAAAAAGAAAAUAAGAGACGAUGGACGUCGAAUCGUUUGGAAAAGAGUUUUUUGCAACGUUGUAAAAAUUAUUGGAAUAAGUGACAGGAAGAAAAUAGAGACCAAUCUAACCGAGGGGAAGGCGACUCUAACUCCAGGAAAACCGAAAAGCAAUGUCCACGGCACGGACGUUUCAGAGCCGGAGGACAGUCACAAAGGGCCUCUGAUAUAAAGGGAAUGUGACGCUAUUGGUCUUUUAAGAGGAUGAAGGCAAACCCGUAUCUGAAAAGGGCUUGCAUCCCCCUCUAGUAAGAAACCCAGAGAUGCCCGAACCAGAAAAGUCGAGGAGUAAGCCCAAGUUCAAGGAACAGCUCAAAGUCUGCAUGAUGGUUGUGUUUAAGCAAGACUUGAAAACGGAAAAUGUGCGGAACAGGAGUCCUUUGUCCUACAGACGCGAGUGUUUAAGACGUGUUCAGACACAUCCUUGCACGUACCAGCGGAGCGUGAUCUAACGAGCCCCAAGCAGUCUUAACCCAGCUUCAGCCAUUACCAACUUGUGGCCUGAUUCACUGACGACUUUGUGUUACUUAA